rnacentral:rRNA from 1 species
UACGUAGGGACCGAGCGUUGUCCGGAUUCAUUGGGCGUAAAGAGCUCGUAGGUGGCUGUUCAAGUCGAACGUGAAAACUCGGAGCUCAACUCCGAGCCUGCGUUCGAUACUGGACGGCUAGAGUCUGGUAGGGGGAUCUGGAAUUCCUGGUGUAGCGGUGGAAUGCGCAGAUAUCAGGAGGAACACCUAUAGCGAAGGCAGCUCGCUGGGACGGUACUGACGCUGAGGCGCGAAAGCGUGGGGAGCGAACAGG